AGACCCGAAACCCGGUGAUCUAGCCAUGGGCAGGUUGAAGGUUGGGUAACACUAACUGGAGGACCGAACCGACUAAUGUUGAAAAAUUAGCGGAUGACCUGUGGCUGGGGGUGAAAGGCCAAUCAAACCGGGAGAUAGCUGGUUCUCCCCGAAAGCUAUUUAGGUAGCGCCUCGUGAACUCAUCUCCGGGGGUAGAGCACUGUUUCGGCUAGGGGGCCAUCCCGGCUUACCAACCCGAUGCAAACUGCGAAUACCGGAGAAUGUUAUCACGGGAGACACACGGCGGGUGCUAACGUCCGUCGUGAAGAGGGAAACAACCCAGACCGCCAGCUAAGGUCCCAAAGUCAUGGUUAAGUGGGAAACGAUGUGGGAAGGCCCAGACAGCCAGGAUGUUGGCUUAGAAGCAGCCAUCAUUUAAAGAAAGCGUAAUAGCUCACUGGUCGAGUCGGCCUGCGCGGAAGAUGUAACGGGGCUAAACCAUGCACCGAAGCUGCGGCAGCGACACUUUAGUGUUGUUGGGUAGGGGAGCGUUCUGUAAGCCGUUGAAGGUGUCCUGUGAGGGGUGCUGGAGGUAUCAGAAGUGCGAAUGCUGACAUAAGUAACGAUAAAGCGGGUGAAAAGCCCGCUCGCCGGAAGACCAAGGGUUCCUGUCCAACGUUAAUCGGGGCAGGGUGAGUCGACCCCUAAGGCGAGGCCGAAAGGCGUAGUCGAUGGGAAACGGGUUAAUAUUCCCGUACUUGGUGUUACUGCGAAGGGGGGACGGAGAAGGCUAUGUUGGCCGGGCGACGGUAGUCCCGGUUUAAGCGUGUAGGUGUGUGUUCCAGGCAAAUCCGGUUCACUUUAACACUGAGGCGUGAUGACGAGGCACCACGGUGCUGAAGCAACAAAUGCCCUGCUUCCAGGAAAAGCCUCUAAGCAUCAGGUAACAUCAAAUCGUACCCCAAACCGACACAGGUGGUCAGGUAGAGAAUACCAAGGCGCUUGAGAGAACUCGGGUGAAGGAACUAGGCAAAAUGGUGCCGUAACUUCGGGAGAAGGCACGCUGACACGUAGGUGAAGUGAUUUACUCAUGGAGCUGAAGUCAGUCGAAGAUACCAGCUGGCUGCAACUGUUUAUUAAAAACACAGCACUGUGCAAACACGAAAGUGGACGUAUACGGUGUGACGCCUGCCCGGUGCCGGAAGGUUAAUUGAUGGGGUCAGCGCAAGCGAAGCUCCUGAUCGAAGCCCCGGUAAACGGCGGCCGUAACUAUAACGGUCCUAAGGUAGCGAAAUUCCUUGUCGGGUAAGUUCCGACCUGCACGAAUGGCGUAAUGAUGGCCAGGCUGUCUCCACCCGAGACUCAGUGAAAUUGAACUCGCUGUGAAGAUGCAGUGUACCCGCGGCAAGACGGAAAGACCCCGUGAACCUUUACUAUAGCUUGACACUGAACAUUGAGCCUUGAUGUGUAGGAUAGGUGGGAGGCUUUGAAGCGUGGACGCCAGUCUGCGUGGAGCCGACCUUGAAAUACCACCCUUUAAUGUUUGAUGUUCUAACGUGGACCCGUAAUCCGGGUUGCGGACAGUGUCUGGUGGGUAGUUUGACUGGGGCGGUCUCCUCCUAAAGAGUAACGGAGGAGCACGAAGGUUGGCUAAUCCUGGUCGGACAUCAGGAGGUUAGUGCAAUGGCAUAAGCCAGCUUGACUGCGAGCGUGACGGCGCGAGCAGGUGCGAAAGCAGGUCAUAGUGAUCCGGUGGUUCUGAAUGGAAGGGCCAUCGCUCAACGGAUAAAAGGUACUCCGGGGAUAACAGGCUGAUACCGCCCAAGAGUUCAUAUCGACGGCGGUGUUUGGCACCUCGAUGUCGGCUCAUCACAUCCUGGGGCUGAAGUAGGUCCCAAGGGUAUGGCUGUUCGCCAUUUAAAGUGGUACGCGAGCUGGGUUUAGAACGUCGUGAGACAGUUCGGUCC
rnacentral:rRNA from 1 species